rnacentral:tRNA from 1 species
AGUUAUCAUGCUAUGAAAGCAUUAUGUUUUGAAAACAUAUUAAAGAAGUUAAACUCUUCUAAUAACUU